rnacentral:rRNA from 1 species
CACUUCUGUAUCAAGCAAUUCUAUAUAACUAUAGAACUUUUCAUGUUAAAACUAGUAACAAGAAGACACUACUUCUCUUUAAUGUAAACAUACAUCAGAUAGGACUAACCACUGAUAAUUACACCUAAUGAACAUACAGUAGAAACACUACAAGAAAACCCUACUUUACCCCAUGUUAACCUAACACAAGAACAUUACAAGAAAGAUUAAAAGAAAAAGAAGGAACUCGGCAAAUUUUAACCCCGCCUGUUUACCAAAAACAUCGCCUCUUGAAUAACUAUAAGAGGUCCAGCCUGCCCAGUGACUCUGUUCAACGGCCGCGGUAUCCUAACCGUGCGAAGGUAGCGUAAUCACUUGUUCUUUAAAUGAGGACUAGUAUGAAUGGCACCACGAAGGUUAUACUGUCUCCUUUCUCUAAUCAGUGAAACUAAUCUUCCCGUGAAGAAGCGGGGAUAACUAUAUAAGACGAGAAGACCCUAUGGAGCUUUAAACACAUGUAACAACUGCCUCAGCCCCCUAGCAAUUUCAGAAGACAAAUCAAUAUUCAGGCACUUUGAUUACAAGUUUUAGGUUGGGGUGACCGCGGAGAAAAAAUCAACCUCCACAAUGAAUGGGGACUCCCCCCUAAACCAUGGUCUACAACCCUAAGCAUCAACAAAUUGACAUCUAUUGACCCAAUAAAUUUGAUCAACGAACCAAGUUACCCUAGGGAUAACAGCGCAAUCCACUUUGAGAGCUCCUAUCGACAAGUGGGUUUACGACCUCGAUGUUGGAUCAGGUACCCCAGUGGUGCAGCCGCUACUAACGGUUCGUUUGUUCAACGAUU